AAAAAAAAUAUAGAACUGCUUAAAGUGGGAUAUUUUUUUUUUCUAACUCGGCUAUUUUAAUCUAUUUUUCCCCCAAGUUUAUUGUCAACUCAUCGCUUAGUGAAUCUACCUCCAUAAUUCUGGAGAAUAAUGCUCUGUCAGUGAUGGAUAUCCCUGAUCUCAAUCAGUGCCGUGUACCCCGAUCAUAUCGCAGUAUUUUUCACUGAUGAAAUCAGAGAACUCCACAAUAUUGUUAACAGGCAUUUAAAGGAAAGUUUCCCAGUAUAUCUGGUCUGAAACUGUCCAUACAUCAAAGGAUAGAAG